AGCGAACGCUGGCGGCAGGCCUAACACAUGCAAGUCGAACGAACCUUUCGGGGUUAGUGGCGGACGGGUGAGUAACACGUGGGAACGUGCCCUUAGGUUCGCAAUAACUCAGGGAAACUUGUCCUAAUACCGAAUGUGCCCUUCGGGGGAAAGAUUAAUCGCCUUUAGAGCGGCCCGCGACUGUUUCGGUAGUUGGUUGAGGUAAUGGCUCACCAAGGCGACGAUCAGUAGCUGGUCUGAGAGGAUGAUCAGCCACAUUGGGACUGAGACACGGCCCAAACUCCUACGGGAGGCAGCAGUGGGGAAUCUUGCGCAAUGGGCGAAAGCCUGACGCAGCCAUGCCGCGUGAAUGAUGAAGGUCUUAGGAUUGUAAAAUUCUUUCACCGGGGACGAUAAUGACGGUACCCGGAGAAGAAGCCCCGGCUAACUUCGUG
rnacentral:rRNA from 1 species